UGGAGAGCCAAGGUUGCCUAUGCCUGGACUAGGGAGACUAGGUUAGUCCCCUAAAUGUUCCCCUGGUACCUCCAUCUCAAAGCCUGGGAAGCGUCUACCUGGCUUAGUGAGAGAUAUGUGAUUCUCACACAUGUGACACCAGUAUGUCACAACGCCGCCCCCCCCCCAAAUUGCUCUCACAAGCUAACUGGCCCUAACUGUUCCCCUAUGAAAAAUUUCACUGAACGUUGCUGCUGCUAGGGUAUAUCAGUAAUACCAAAGGAUGAGAAAUGUAUCAAUUUAAUCAUCCAAAACCACAGUCCUUUAAUCCUGCAGUAAUCACUGCUUCUGCUGAGCAGCAGCUGUAUUUUCUGUGGAGAAAUGUACAGAAGUCACCUGAAUCUGUGGAAAGUUCUUCAUUCCUAAAACCUUUGUUUCACUAAUGUGAAGCAUUUGUCAGGCACCAUCCCACUCAUGUGAAAUUCUUUGACAUUUUAUUAUCUCAAGGGAUUAAAAAUGAACAGCAAAUGACCUGUAAUUGACGUAAGUGUAGUGCCAUGAAGAUUGAGAUGUAAUAAUGAGCCAGGAUAUUCACCUAGAUGCUGCUCCUGGAAGCCAAAUCUAGAAGACUGUUGUCUGCCCAGAAGAGGGAACUUUAAGUGUGGUGGCUGGAUAUUUGCAGUGUGACAUUAAUCAGGCUUAACAAGGGAGAUGGAAUAGUCAGAAAACAUUCAUUUGUUUCCCAUCUUUUCCAUGAGCUUUGUGUUUGCUGUCUAGACCUGCAUUGUAUAAACACUGACAACUGGGAAAUACUGGCCUGCGAGCGCUCCAGUUGGAGAACAGCCUUUACCAAAGGUGUCUUGGGCUUUGAAGACACAUGAACUCAGGAGGCAAGGGAGAAAGGUGCUAAGAGGAAGGCACGCUUGGCAAAUCCACACCAUGAUCAACUCCCCCCCCCCAGAAACCAAUGUCCCCACUGUGGAAGGACAUGUGGAUCCAGAAUUGGCUCCACAGUCACUUAUGGACUCAUUGUUAAAACCGUGUUUAUGGAAGGCAAUCUUACUCGGCUACAAGUGAUUGCCAAAGAAUAUAUAGAAGGGAAAGCAAAGCAAAGUAGGGAGAUGACUUUUUGAUACUGAAUGAGUCACAUAAAUUAUAUGCCCUCGUACUUGAAUGAGGUAGUUACUCUGAGUUGGUGGGUAACAGAUAUGGUGACAAAACAGAUCAAGGGCCAAAAACAUGUGGUAAGUCCCAGAGUCUCUUGACUGUUUAUGGCAACAUUUGUGCUACAUUUAGAACCAUAUUCAUUUGCUCCGGUUUUAAGAAAUGUUUGAAAUCAGCAUUGAUGGAAAACUGUGUUUGUCUUCUUCAGCUUUUGUAAAAGCAAUAGCUUGGCAAUUCUUUUUGUCAAAGAUCUUUGGACCAAGUGGAACCUGGAAGAAUAUGGUUUUAAGCAUGAUUGGACAGAAGCUGCACUAGAGCACAGUUCCCACGUGGCCUAGGUGCUGCUGCACCACAACAUCUCUACUGUACCUAUCUUCUCAGAACUAUAUGCUCAGCCUUGAAAUUAAUGAAUGUAUGCAAGGAUGCCUGAACAUUCCAGUACAGCUUGAUCAUCCUUUGUUUACUUUGACUCUCAGAGGCUUUAUUUUCUGUGUGGAUGCCCCUAAUGGCUGGGCACUGCUUGCUCAAUCCCCCCUCCCAUUUCUUUGCUUGACAUUUUAUAAGGUCUCAAUAGAUAGAGAAUCGCAUAUUGCUCAGGUUUUGCAGCUGAUUGGAGGCAAAUAACCAAUUAAAUCCUAGGUAAGAAUAGCUUCGCAGCACAGCUGCUUGAUGCUGUUAUGGUGCCCUCUGGCUACAUGCUGUGCACACAGUUAGACAAAGGGAACAUUGAGAAGAGCAAUAAACUAAUUUCAAGUUGGUGCCAGUAUUUAACUGCUUGUGCACUAUAGUGAGAGAGAAGAAAGCCAGCUGACAGGAAGCACAGUGCUGCAGCAAUACCAGCAUCGGUCCUUUAUUCAUCAGCCUUCAGUGACUGUACUAAACUCCUUACACCCUCUUGCUGAAGUUCAUGCAUAAGCAGCACUUUGCUAGAUGAUACCCCUAAGCAAGGACCACUUAUGGAUGCUGAACUCCCAGUUUUCCAUGCCUGUUGCCUGUGAUGGAUGUGAGCUCAACUGAGGGAUUUGGCGUGGCAGAGAAGAUUGCACUGCUCACCUUUAUUUCUGCUGUUAUUCUUAUGGCUAUCCUGGGAAAUCUUCUGGUGAUGGUGGCUGUAUGCAGAGACAGGCAACUCAGGAAAAUCAAGACCAAUUAUUUCAUAGUCUCACUUGCCUUUGCUGACUUGCUGGUAUCAGUUCUGGUGAUGCCAUUUGGAGCCAUUGAGCUGGUUCAAGAUAACUGGAUUUAUGGAAGAACGUUCUGUUUAGUCCGCACUUCUCUUGAUGUCCUCCUCACAACAGCAUCAAUUUUCCACCUCUGCUGUAUCUCAUUAGACAGGUACUAUGCUAUCUGCUGCCAGCCGCUGGUUUAUAGGAAUAAGAUGACACCACUGCGCAUUGCUCUAAUGCUGGGUGGAUGUUGGGUAAUCCCAAUGUUUAUUUCUUUUCUCCCUAUCAUGCAAGGCUGGAAUAGCAUUGGCAUCAUGGACUUGGUAGAGAAAAAGCAAUUCAACAGUAUGUCCAACUCAACUUACUGCAUAUUUAUGGUCAACAAGCCCUAUGCUAUCACCUGCUCUGUGGUUGCCUUCUACAUUCCGUUUCUGCUAAUGGUGCUAGCCUACUACCGGAUAUACAUUACAGCCAGGGAGCAUGCUCACCAGAUACAGAUUCUUCAGCGUGCAGGGGCCCCGACAGAUGGGAGGGCACACCACCCUGACCAGCACAGCACUCACCGUAUGAAGACGGAAACUAAAGCAGCCAAGACCCUCUGUAUAAUCAUGGGGUGUUUCUGCUUAUGCUGGGCACCAUUCUUCAUCACAAAUGUAAUAGACCCUUUCAUAGAUUAUGCAGUUCCUGCAAAGAUAUGGACUGCUUUCCUGUGGCUGGGAUACAUCAAUUCAGGAUUGAACCCCUUCCUUUAUGCAUUCUUGAACAAGUCUUUCAGACGUGCCUUCCUCAUCAUCCUGUGUUGUGGUGAUGAACGAUACCGAAGGCCUUCCAUCUUAGGGCAAACAGUCCCUUGUUCCACAACUACUAUAAAUGGAUCUACACAUGUGCUAAGGUAUACAGUCUUGUACAAUGGGCAACCCCAGGAACAUGACAAGCUUCCGAUCCAUAAUGACCCAGAAUCCCAAGAGUCCUGCUUCUGACUAAGGUCUCAGAAUGUGAUCUGCCAUGCAGGACAGUUGCAAGAUGAUGGUGCACCAGGAACCUGAUGCCAGAUCAAUGUUCUGAUUUGACAUCAGCACCAAUAGCAAGGAUGUGCUUACCAACUGGAAGGAUUAGGCAGAGUCUGCAGAGAGAAGGAAGGAGAUCCUUUUUGUUGUUGUUGCUGCAGAGUGAUGCCUGGAAAAGUCAUAGUGCUUUGCAUGUGGUGCGCAAACAGUAAGCAACAUGCUUGAUGGUUCUUGCAUUUGCUUCAACAGAUGUGUCCGUACACAUCUCUCUGUCUCUCUCUUUUGUAUUGUUAUGUGGCAACAAUAUGAAUCUUCUCCCAGAAUUUGACUUGAAGUGCUAAUAUCAAACCACACUUUUGCUUAACCAAAAAGAAACAAGGAACUGAUACUAUUUUUCUCAGCUGUUUUUAAUUGUGAGCUUUUACUCAAGAAAUGUACUCCCCCAGCUGUGCAAGAAGAAAAGUGGCAGUCUUGCUAUGCAUGUCCCCACCCCCCCACCCUAGUAUGUCUCCUCACCAAAAUAUAUUGAGGAGCACGAAUAGCCCAAGGAGAACUACGUUAUGGCCUAGGGAUAUGGAACUGAUUGUGGUAUGAAGUCCUGCAGCUCCCACCAAACUGAUCUACUGUGCACAAUGUGAAGAUUAAACGAUGAACGGUCACAGAUUCUAUCGCUAAGAUGUCUCCAUCUGCCCCCUCACACGUUGUCAAUGAGAUCUUCAUCUGGACAGUGCUGCUAUGAAGGAAGUGCUGCUAUGAAGGAAGAGUGAGCCAGGAGGCAGAACCCUAAAGAAAGGAAUAACUCACCUAUAAUAGUUCACUAAGUGCCAUCUUGAUGUGCGUGUACAUUUGACCACCCUUUAUAGCUGAAGAAUGUGUUUGGAAAGCCGAUUGACUCAUUUACUUGCCCCAUUUUGCUCUGUGGCUCAGGGAUUGUGUGUGAUGGACCAGUAGCUACUUGUGUGUCUUUGGGUUUAUCAGUAUUUGCUGAUGACCCCAGGCAGUAACAGCAGCAGAGCCCUCAGUUAGGGAGUAGGCAGGCACCCAGUUGGGAAUGCAGGUACAUAAUGUAAGACAGGGAAGAAGGCACUAGAGGCAGUUGCAGUGCCAACAGCUGCUGCUUACAUGAGAAGGGUGAGACAAGUAAAUAGGCCUUCUGGAAUGGCCAUCUUGGUAGGAGACGGGCUGUUCAGAAUGAGGAGGAGGUCCAAGACUAAGGCUGUAUUGAGCCAGGCAAGGCUUCAUUGGCUCCCUAGGCUAGGACAGCUGCCUAGGAGCUGUGUCAGUUGGUGGGACCUGUAAUGCUGUUUAUGUGGUACCCACAACUCCUUCAGUAGAGAUGCUGCCUUGGUCGCAAGAUGUUGGAGCCUACUGGAGGUCCUGGUUUGAGACCCCGAGCACCUUUGCAGGGUUUUUUCUUUUCUUUUCUAAUGCUUUAUUGGAACUUCAGAUAUUUUCCUUGUACAACUGUCCCUCGAAAAGGAUGUCAGCCAUGCUUAUGUCAGCACUUUCCUGCAUGCAGAUGUUACUGCCUUCCUUAUUUGUGGUAGCUCUGCUUUUCUUUGCAUGUUAUGUUUAUCAGCUUUGCUGUAGACCGAAGGACUCUGGGAGUUUGAUUUUCAUAUCAUGAGAAAUGUGCAGAUCCAAGCAUGGAUCUGUAUUCUCCUUCCCUGAAGAUCUAACCUAAAGAUGACAACCUUGCUCUGGACAACAGGUAUUUUGUUACAUUGUAUAAUUAUGUACAGGUGUUUUUAAGUGUAUAGGAGAAAAACAUUAUUUAUUAUUUUAAGGGAAUUUUUAUUUUCCUGUGGACGUCUUCUGAGUUUAGGAGCUAAAACAUUUUCAGUAGUGUUUUGUUUUGUUUAUUUAAAAAACAGUUUUAUUUUUCUGUUGCCAUGUGACAGCUAUUCAUUGUUUUAAAAGGAGGAGGAAAAGACAGUUUUUAUAACAAAACAAAUGCAAUUUAAAGGACAUUUCAUUGGUCUACUCUUGUUGAGAGGAUGAGUCUAUGGCUUUUUACUCUGGUGUUGCUCUGCAGACACUUGUUGCUUGUGCAGCUGGCCCCAAACUACUGUAUGGGGAUUUAGAGUGUUGUUUUAGUGUGCCCAGUCUCUGCUGUACACAUGUGAAGCGUACUUCAUUAUGCUGGGUAGGCCUGUGCAACUAGCUUUACAGAUUAACGUAACCCAGCUGGAGGUGGGGGAAAAUCCUUUGGAUAUUUUGCAUGCUCGCUGUUGUGUGCUGCCAUACCCAAAGGGAAGUGAGCAGGGGCAUGAGCUUUAUGAACCCCGGAGAAAACUAGACUGCAUGAUCUCACCAGUGUUGUAAAGCCAGAGGAGGUAAAAUGGGCCACCCAUGUGGCCCUGCGUUGAGACUGCCUGACUCACUUCUUUCACACUUGUCGCAGAAACUAGAGAACCUGUAACAAUGACAUACCAGCUGCCAAAUUUACAUUUUAACCUUCCUCCCCACCCCCCACAAGGCCAGCCAAUGCUGUUUUGUUUUUGAGGGGAAGCUGCCACUACCACCACAUUACACAUCAUCCUUAGCCUGCGCCUCCACCUCUACAGGCAAUUCUGGAAGUUAGCCUUUAUUCUGCUGCCCUGCAUCCUGUCAGAUGACAGCCAGCAGAUUGCUUUCAUCAGGAAAUCCAGCCAUUCUCACCUUUCAUUGAAAUAUUAUUCCUCCUCCCAACCACAAGGGAGCCACUUACUCACAAGGAGCUCCUAUGUGACUGGGGUAACGCUGAAAUGACCAAACCAUGUGAAGAGGCGAUACUCGCUUGCAUCUUUCUCAUGGAAUGAGCACCAUUCCAGGAGUAGGUAGAGAUUCCGUGAGAAAGACCUACCCAAGCAGCCCUGCUUGGAGAUAAUGCAGCUCUUACAUGGCUGGAUGCAGUGCUUUUUUCUGGGGGGGGGGGUGCAGGGGCACGCAUACCCCUAAACAUUUUGUGAAUCUAAGUUUGGCCUCAUUGAGGAGCAGUAUUUCAACAUGAGUAGGAAAAUGAGAGCACCCCUAAACAUUUUUUUUGGGGGGGGGAGCACUGGCUGGCUGAAUGUCUAAAAACUACCUAUAUGGUUGUUUUUUUAGAUGUAUACUGUGUCCAAUAAUCUGAAAACCAGAUUUCAUUAAAAUUAGGUCUGGGAAUUGUGCCAAUGAGAGCUCAUAUGUAAGCUUGGCUGAAUUAUAUUAUUGUGAACAAGUGCAGACUCCUUUAUCUGACAUAUUUGGAGGACAUGAUUUCCUGUUGAAUAAAGCAGUGUUUUAUUGACAAGUGUUGGUCAUUCUUCAAAGCUCUUCCCAGCUAUAGCAACUGUUCAGAGUGAUCUGUUUCUUCUCAUGGUCUAUUCUCUAUAGGGCAUAAAGUGAAAAACAAUGAAUCCCAUUGAAAAAGCAAAUGUGUUGGAUGCUGUGGUGAUAAACUGAAAUGCCAGCACUGAUUUUUGCAGGAGUUUGUAACAAUGCCUCCUAGAUUUUAUGUUCCUACGUGUGAUCUGGGACAAACACCCUAGCUCUUCAUGGAAAUAACAGGCACCUGUUAAGAUACGGUACAGAAGCACUGACUGCACCAUUCUCAGUAAGCUCUGUUCAUUUCUAAAUCAUGGUAAAAGGAAAUCUAAUAAAUGCAUUUCACAGACAGAAGACUGAUGCAUCUAAAGCAGAAGAUUUGAACAGGAGUGCAGAGGAGAGGUCAUACACUUCAAUUAGAAGUUGAUCAGCCCUGUCUGGAAGAUGCAAAGCAAUAAAUGGAUAUGUGCUUCUCAAAUGCCAGGGGUACAAGCUGGUAGAGAUUGCCUGGCUUAUGUGUGAGGUUCAGCUAAGUGACUGCCACAGUUUUUGUGCACCAGGCGGUCAGUCUAAUGGUGUGCCAUAAAGUAGAAUCCUUUUUUGAACUAGCAUUUGGGAAGGAAGAGAUGAGGAAUAUAAUUCAGUGUUGAAAUGCAUGCUUUCAAAGCUUUUAAUUUUGAAGGGGAAUCAUAUACUUAAAACCUGGCACACUGUACAAUUGUCAGAAGUCAUGCAUAUAGGACACAGUUCCAGCAGUGAUUAACCAUAUGGAGUCCUGAUGUGUGGGGAUGUUGAUUUUAAAGGUACUCUGCAAAUGUUCGCACUCAUUCCACAAUUGGAGGUGUUGCUGCCUAACCAGCCCCCUGCUGUUUGUGCCUUAGAUCUGGUGGUGAUGGUUAGCUUGUCUUUGGGAUCUGGAUUCAGCCUUAUACUUUGUUGAAAAAGAGAGGUUCCAUUUAUCUCUCAAUAUUAAUGGUUGAUCAUUUAGCAUGAACUUGUGUGGGUGUGUUUUUUUUGUGAGCUAUCAAAGCUAGAGCCAUCACACAUCCUAUGGUAAUACAUUGCAUGAGUUAAUUAAGCAAUGUACAAAGAGCUUUCUUUUAUCAACCUGGAGCUCAUUGCCAAUUAAUUUCAUUGAGAGAGUUCAAAUGUGUAGUCUUAAGAAAAAGCCCAUUCAGUCUCUCCACUUCCCAUCACUAUCAAUGAUUGUUUUCUUCCUUUUAGUUGUCUUUUCCUAAACUGAAAGUAACAACCUCUUCGGCUCUUCUUCAUAAGGGUGGUGUCCUCACCGGUGGUAAGUCUAGUCAUGGUUUUUUGCAUUUCUCCAGUUGCCAUUUGUAUGCUAGAAGAUCAUACAAAUACAUGAUCCAGCAAAGGAGAGAGAGAUGCAGACACAAAACCAAUAUGUAAGUUUCUCUAGAGCUAGGACAAAAUGUCACUUGGGUUUGGAAUACUGUGGACCCUGAGAAACAGGAUUGCCAGAGAGGUUCUUGUAGUUACCGUAUUUUUCACUCCAUAAGACACACUUUUUCCCUCCUAAAAAGGAAGGGAAAAUGUGUGUGCAUCUUAUGGAGCGAAGCUCUCCCAACCGCGGCUACCAAGCCUGCCCCUGCGAGAGGCGGCGGCGGGAUCAGUGCCCCGAAAGCCGCCGGCUCUCUCAAGAACGGGAGGCAGCCGCGUUUGCCCCUGCCAGAGCCAGCCAGCCAGCCAGCAGCAGCAGCAGCAGCAGCAACAAACAUGGGGUUGCUUAUUCCUUCCCUCUCUCUUCCCUCCCUCCCUCCUUCCUUCCCUCUCUCUUCUUCUCUCUCUCUUUCCCUCUCUCACCCCUUCCUUCCUUUCCUUCUUCUGAGCCGUUGAAGGCUCGCUAGAAAAGAUCCCCCCCUUGUUUAAAUACAGUAAUGGAGCACGAAACAUUAUGUCUGGUGCUUAUUAUUAUUUAUUUAUUUGAAUUACCUAUUGCUUUCUGCAGAGUAGACUCUAGUUAUAAUGCAUGAAUGAGCCCAAGGCUAUUGAUAAAAAGUCUGAUCAGGCAAAAGCUUUUGAUGUGUCCUCCCUCACCCCAAAUGAAACUGCUUAACUGUAAGGGUGUUGGUUGAAGUGAUCAAGGGAUAGCACUUUUUUUUAUGUACUAGACACAAUACGCAUAUUUUUUAAUGCUGCAAGCACAAUCCAUAAAACAGAAAUGUGACAGCAGUCAGGCGUUGGAAAAAUUUAGCAGAUGCGUGGCAUUUGUUGAACGUAAUUACAAUAGAGUUAGCAGAAAGCCAAAGAUGGCUACAGAAUCUUCUAGUGCUUGUAAAAUAGUCAUUCCGUAGGAAUCUGUGAAAGUGUUUUGAUCUGUCAACUUAGCUUAAUAGUUAGAUGAGGCUUUAGCUCAUUGAUUGUUCCCUUUCUCAACUGAUAAUUUCCAGGCAGAGUUUAGGAAGAUCACACAUUUGUCUUGUUAUCCUGAAAAGAACUAUUUUUAGUUUCUCUGCUGCAAGCCAGAAGAAUUACAGGAAGACUAACCAGCCUGAAGGCGGAAUACUGGUCAUGUUAGCCCCAUUAGGGGCAUAGAUCUGAGUCUCGCACACUUAGCUCAGGGCUCAGACAACUGGCAGACAGGUGGCAGCUGUGAAGGACACACAGCCGCAAGCUGUGGCAUGCUAGGAAGUGCCAAAUAUGCACCCAGCCACACUUUUUAUUUAAUGGUAAAAACUUACUGUAUGAUGAGACUGGCAGUACCGGUAAGUACAUCCACUUUGGCUCCACAGUCCCAAAGGUUGUACCUAGGAGUACUGUGGAGCACAUAGCAGGUAGACCUCUUGCUAUUUGAGUGUCUUCAUUCGUCCCACAUCCCUUUUAGUAGCUGAGCUCACUUCCACUCUCAUUUUCAGAAAAUAUUUAAAAUGGUGAUGGGCUUCUGCAUACUUGCUGCUGCUGGCAGGCACCUUCCCUUGCUGCUCACCUGCUCCAGCUAGCAGACCAGCCACCCACUACCCACAGUAGUGAUGGGAGUGGUGAGGUGGCAGGUGGUGGCAGUGGCAUUGGGGUGAGAUCAACCCCACAACCCUCCUCAAAAAGUAAGAAAGGAAAGAGAAGUGGGAUGAUGAUGGCAAUCGGAAGAUGGGCAGUAACAACCAGGAAAAGAACAGCUGCAGCAGCAUUCACUAAAAGGAAAAGUUAUUUGGGGGGAGGGUCUACCAGAAGUGCCAAGGUGGUCCCCCCCCCCGGUAUUUAAUCAGGGCCCUCCUAAAAUCUGGCACUGCCUCUGAAACCAAAUAAUGCAACUUUCAUUUUUGUUCAGUUUGCUUUCCAGGCACAUAGUAAGCAAGUUUCAUGUCUGGCCUCUGUGACCCAGGAAGUUGUGGCUCAAAUCUAGCUACAGAAUGAAAGAAGAGAAGACACCAGCACAGAACGAAAACCUCAAAAGCCAGCUGCUUCCAGCUUCUAGCUCACAUCACUCAACUCUCAACUCUGGCCUUUGUCUUUCUAACUACCAGUGAGCUGAGAAACCUGAGAAUCGACAUGGCUUCUUAAAAUAUAAACAUGAAAUUGCUGUGAAGAUUGGAGAGACAUCAGUCGAAAUAUAACUGUAAAUGUGUACCAAGUGUUCAGGUAAGCAUCUUUUUAGUCUCUCAGUAUGGUCAGACAGUGUGUCCAACCACUGCCAUCAGUGGUUAAGAGUGUAGAUUUCUAGCCCUUAAUUUUUGUCACCUUGCAGUCAGUUCAGCCUAUCAAAGCCAGACAUGAGAACUGCCACAUCCCUAGAAUCUACCCUCUUUGGCAGAAAUAUUAAGACUCUGAAUUCUAAGUUAAUUUUCGCAACUGCUAAACCUCAACCCAGAAUUGAGAGACCAUCAAGCAGUUGCACAACAUAUGUACCAAUUGAUUAUAUGAAUAGACACAUCCUCACCAUGUCCUUUGGAUGUUGUCUCAUCUACACCCAGUGGGUCUGGAAAACUAAUUGCUGUUGUAUAGCCUCACAGUGUCUGAAACAUAUGUUGGCUUUAAGAGUUAAUUUCCACUGAACUUGUAAAUAUAGGUUGAUCUAGUUCUUUAAUCCUCAACACAAUGCCAGCCCAUCCAAUUAGAAACUAUUUGUAACAGGACUGUACAGUACAGGAAAUCUGCGGGCUUUAGGAGUGAACUCAACAAAUUCCAUCAGAAAUGUGCAAAGCUGUUUCAUGUGUGCUGAGGGAUGCAGGCCCACAAAUCUUGCAAACUGGGUGAUUCAAUCUGCCAGUAGAUGUGUAGCAGAAUAUAUGCAGCUUAAAGAUCCUCAACAGUUAGGAACUAAUAGAAUUGAUUCACUCUAAUGACCUACCCUCUC